GUAUAUAUUAUUGUUUAAUAUUGUUUAAUUUAUUGCUUGUCAGUCAUUCACAUUUAUUAAAAAUAGUCACUUUAUUAAAUAAUGUGAGAAACUCUAUGUUCUUUGCGAAUAGACCAUGAAUUAUGAAAGGAUGUGACAAGUAUCAGUAAUGCAGGAAGAUGCAGAGGUAGAGCAAGAAGAGUAGUGAAAAGAGAGACCUAAAUAAGGAGCAAAUUAUUGGCAUGGGAAAAAUUCCAAUACAAUUUCCUGGUCUGAACACUUCUGUGUUUAGAGGAAAAGAAUUAAUUCAACAGCUGAAACUGCUUGUAAAUUUUGAAAGAAAGCAAAAACUUAUGGAAUUACCACAAAGUCAGACCAGGCCAAUGCAAAUAAAAUUAUCGCCAUUGGAAUGUGGUUGGAGGAGUGUUAUAAUGGAUGGCAAAAGCAUUGAAUCAGAUCUUAUUGGAAAAGAUACAUUUGAAAGUUUUGAAACCUGGAUUUUGGAAAACAAAAUGAUAACUUGUAUGACCAGUAAUUUAGCACGUAAGACUAGAAUCAAUUCAUUUAUAGUAAAUGUAUUAUAUAUUCAUAUAUUCAUAUAUUAUAUAUUCAUUUAUAGUAAAUUUAUGGGAAUGGAAAUGGAUUGGCUGGAUUUGCGUUAUGAAAAGCCAAAGCAUCCCUAAAGACGAUUAAAAAUAGGGCUGGUCAAAGAUUAAUGUAUAUUCCUACAUAUAAGGAACACACUGUGUUACAUGAUUUCUUUACACAGUUUGAGAAUAUAAAAAUAUUUGUAAAGAAAAUUCAUGAAGAAUAGUGGGCUUGUUUGUCAUCAUGCGAUAAAAGCAUGUUGCGAGAUAAUUGGCAUAAAAGAUAUAUAUGCCAAAGUACAAGGAGGAAUGUAAAAGCAUUCUUUGGUUUAUUACAAAUAGGUGUGAAUAUAAAGUAUUUAAAGGCA